rnacentral:rRNA from 1 species
CGGGAGGCAGCAGUGGGGAAUAUUGGACAAUGGGGGCAACCCUGAUCCAGCCAUGCCGCGUGUGUGAAGAAGGCCUUUUGGUUGUAAAGCACUUUAAGCAGGGAGGAGAGGCUAAUGGUUAAUACCCAUUAGAUUAGACGUUACCUGCAGAAUAAGCACCGGCUAACUCUGUGCCAGCAGCCGCGGUAAUACAGAGGGUGCGAGCGUUAAUCGGAAUUACUGGGCGUAAAGCGAGUGUAGGUGGCUCAUUAAGUCACAUGUGAAAUCCCCGGGCUUAACCUGGGAACUGCAUGUGAUACUGGUGGUGCUAGAAUAUGUGAGAGGGAAGUAGAAUUCCAGGUGUAGCGGUGAAAUGCGUAGAGAUCUGGAGGAAUACCGAUGGCGAAGGCAGCUUCCUGGCAUAAUAUUGACACUGAGAUUCGAAAGCGUGGGUAGCAAACAGGAUUAGAUACCCUGGUAGUCCACGCCGUAAACGAUGUCUACUAGCCGUUGGGGUCCUUGAGACUUUAGUGGCGCAGUUAACGCGAUAAGUAGACCGCCUGGGGAGUACGGCCGCAAGGUUAAAACUCAAAUGAAUUGACGGGGGCCCGCACAAGCGGUGGAGCAUGUGGUUUAAUUCGAUGCAACGCGAAGAACCUUACCUGGUCUUGACAUCCACGGAACUUUCCAGAGAUGGAUUGGUGCCUUCGGGAACCGUGAGACAGGUGCUGCAUGGCUGUCGUCAGCUCGUGUCGUGAGAUGUUGGGUUAAGCCCCGCAACGAGCGCAACCCUCGUUCUAUGUUGCCAGCACGUGAUGGUGGGGACUCAUAGGAGACUGCCGGGGUCAACUCGGAGGAAGGUGGGGAUGACGUCAAAUCAUCAUGCCCCUUAUGACCUGGGCUACACACGUGCUACAAUGGCUGGUACAACGAGUCGCAAGUCGGUGACGGCAAGCUAAUCUCUUAAAGCCAGUCUCAGUUCGGAUUGUAGGCUGCAACUCGCCUACAUGAAGUCGGAAUCGCUAGUAAUCGCGGAUCAGCAUGUCGCGGUGAAUACGUUCCCGGGUCUUGU